rnacentral:lncRNA from 1 species
GGGGGGGGUGAACAGACGAAACAGACUACGAGGAAAGUGCGUGUUUGAGUGCCUAUCAUGAUGAGGCUGAUUUCUUUCAUCCCUGGGCCGGGAUCCAUCCCUCCUGUUAUCCUUCCUCCAGUUUGGGGCUAUUUGUGCUGAUCUCUCAGUGGUCCAGAGAGAUGGGUAUCACUAUCCAUCACAUACUGCAUGUUCUGUUCUGUACAGCAACUAACGGGACUGUGUUGUGUUACUGUUUUCACAGGCAGCGGAGAAGCCCAAGCCCAGAAGUACACCUCUCAGCAUCCCUGUGGCCACGUCUCGGACCAGUGACCCGGGCCACUCUAGUGGCGCCUCGGCCAGCUCCAGUGAAUCAGAGAGCAGCUCCGAGUCGGAUUCAGACAGUGAGAGCAGCUCCAGUGACAGCGAGUGUAACGGGGCCUCCCGGACCGCCACCCCAGAGGUAUAACACAAUCGCUCCUUACUGUAUUGUACCAACCAACCGGGACAGUCA